UACGAAGGGGGCUAGCGUUGCUCGGAAUCACUGGGCGUAAAGGGCUCGUAGGCGGCCAACUAAGUCGGACGUGAAAUCCCUCGGCUUAACCGGGGAACUGCGUCCGAUACUGGAUGGCUUGAGUUUGGGAGAGGGAUGCGGAAUUCCAGGUGUAGCGGUGAAAUGCGUAGAUAUCUGGAGGAACACCGGUGGCGAAGGCGGCAUCCUGGACCAACACUGACGCUGAUGAGCGAAAGCCAGGGGAGCAAACGGG
rnacentral:rRNA from 1 species